rnacentral:rRNA from 1 species
AGAGGGUGCAAGCGUUAAUCGGAAUUACUGGGCGUAAAGCGUGUGUAGGUGGUUGGAUAAGUUAGAUGUGAAAUCCCCGGGCUUAACCUGGGCAUUGCGUUUAAGACUGUUCAGCUAGAGUACUGUAGAGGAUAGUGGAAUUUCCAGUGUAGCGGUGAAAUGCGUAGAUAUUGGAAGGAACACCAGUGGCGAAGGCGACUAUCUGGAUAGAUACUGACACUGAGACACGAAAGCGUGGGGAGCAAACAGGAUUAGAUACCCUGGUAGUCCAUGCUGUAAACUAUGAGAACUUGCUGUUGGAUGCAUAAAGGCAUUUAGUAGCGAAGCUAACGCGAUAAGUUCUCCGCCUGGGGAGUACGGCCGCAAGGCUA